rnacentral:lncRNA from 1 species
UCUACCAGGUACGGCAGAAUGGAUAGUACACAGACUGCCACCAGAAGUUGUGGCCCAGAUUUACAGUGGAUCUUCUCACCUCAAGUGAUCAAAUCAAGAAAAUUUCUUCAUCCAUGCCCAGCUGCUUGUGUUCUAGUUGAUUCCAGAUGAAGUCAAGGUGACAACCAGAAUUAGCCAUCACCAGUCUACCCCCUGUCAACUCGACACACAAUCACAUCUCCUUAUGUCAUGCUUAAUUUACAAAUGGAAACAAUAACUAGAUCAUAAUUAUACCUAAUAUGAUGUAACUCUCACAUGGACAGCCACAAAGUAUCCCACAUCCAUCUGUAAAUGAAAUGUCCCUUGAGGGACAUUCUUUAAGUGCCUCAUAACUAUGUAGCCAUUGAUAUUAUAUCAAUUGAUAUUACAUAAUAAAGAAA